AAUAAUCAACAGAAGGAUGGGAAGAAUGAACACGAAACAAACUUUCAUUACUGUAGAAGGCGACUUACAAGAUAGGCUUUAACCCUUUGUCGGAAUAAGUCUUGCAACCAUUCCUCCUGCCACCACUGUCUCCAUUAUAUUAAACUUUUCUCCCUGUAGAAACUGGACAGUUAUAGGCCCGCUCCAACAAGGAGGAAGGAAAGAAAGCUGAAGCUGUGUACAAGCUUCACACCCAGAUCUGGAACUUGCUUUGUCAGGACAGUGGCUCAAAAUAUUCCUGUCCUAAUUCACUUCUCUCCUGAAAGUAGAAGUUUCUUCCUAAAAACACACAAGUAGGAAAUUUCCCCUAACACUAGCUCAAGGAGAUUCUAUGAUUCAGAGAGUGACAUAUGUUAGAUAUAAUUCUAACACUGAUCGCAGUUUUAAUGAAAUGUCUGUUUUCCUUGCACUUCAUCUCUAGAACCAGACAUUAUUAACACAUGUAUCCCGACCCUUCACACAGUGCUUGGCACUUCACAGAUUUCUAAAAGAAUUUCUCAAAUAAAUAAAAAUUGGAAUAAAAUAAGAAAAGGCUCCUGGCAGAGACAAAACAACAGUCUAGGAGUAAGAUAAGCACUUUCCAGAGUAACCCUUCCUGAGACAUGUGGACCCUUGCAUUGUACAUGUGGUCCUUGGAAAACCUGGAAAUCACCCAAAUUCAACCAGAGUAACUGUGUGCAUCUUCAGAUCUCAAAUUUGUUAGUAAUUUUUCAUGGAGUCAUCUCUCUUCGUGGCACACAGAGAUACUCAUUGUGUCCUGAAGGCUCUAGUUCACUAUGUGGUCCACUUAGUAAAAUGCUCCAAUACUUUGGCCACUUGAUGCAAAGAACUGACUCAUUGGAAAUGACCCUGUUGCUGGAAAAGAUUGAGGGCAGGAGGAGAAAGGGACAACAGAGGAUAAGAUGGUUGGAUGGCAUCACUGACUUCAUCAUCACUGAUAAGUCUGAGCAAACUCUGGGAGUUGCCAAUGGA
rnacentral:lncRNA from 1 species